rnacentral:rRNA from 1 species
GCUCAGAUUGAACGCUGGCGGCAGGCCUAACACAUGCAAGUCGAGCGGCAGCACGGGUACUUGUACCUGGUGGCGAGCGGCGGACGGGUGAGUAAUGCCUAGGAAUCUGCCUGGUAGUGGGGGAUAACGUUCGGAAACGAACGCUAAUACCGCAUACGUCCUACGGGAGAAAGCAGGGGACCUUCGGGCCUUGCGCUAUCAGAUGAGCCUAGGUCGGAUUAGCUAGUUGGUGAGGUAAUGGCUCACCAAGGCGACGAUCCGUAACUGGUCUGAGAGGAUGAUCAGUCACACUGGAACUGAGACACGGUCCAGACUCCUACGGGAGGCAGCAGUGGGGAAUAUUGGACAAUGGGCGAAAGCCUGAUCCAGCCAUGCCGCGUGUGUGAAGAAGGUCUUCGGAUUGUAAAGCACUUUAAGUUGGGAGGAAGGGCAGUUACCUAAUACGUAAUUGUUUUGACGUUACCGACAGAAUAAGCACCGGCUAACUCUGUGCCAGCAGCCGCGGUAAUACAGAGGGUGCAAGCGUUAAUCGGAAUUACUGGGCGUAAAGCGCGCGUAGGUGGUUCGUUAAGUUGGAUGUGAAAUCCCCGGGCUCAACCUGGGAACUGCAUUCAAAACUGUCGAGCUAGAGUAUGGUAGAGGGUGGUGGAAUUUCCUGUGUAGCGGUGAAAUGCGUAGAUAUAGGAAGGAACACCAGUGGCGAAGGCGACCACCUGGACUGAUACUGACACUGA